rnacentral:rRNA from 1 species
GAACGGAUCCUUCGGGAUUAGUGGCGGACGGGUGAGUAACACGUGGGAACGUGCCCUUUGGUUCGGAACAACUCAGGGAAACUUGAGCUAAUACCGGAUGUGCCCUUCGGGGGAAAGAUUUAUCGCCAUUGGAGCGGCCCGCGUCUGAUUAGCUAGUUGGUGAGGUAAAGGCUCACCAAGGCGACGAUCAGUAGCUGGUCUGAGAGGAUGAUCAGCCACAUUGGGACUGAGACACGGCCCAAACUCCUACGGGAGGCAGCAGUGGGGAAUCUUGCGCAAUGGGCGAAAGCCUGACGCAGCCAUGCCGCGUGAAUGAUGAAGGUCUUAGGAUUGUAAAAUUCUUUCACCGGGGACGAUAAUGACGGUACCCGGAGAAGAAGCCCCGGCUAACUUCGUGCCAGCAGCCGCGGUAAUACGAAGGGGGCUAGCGUUGCUCGGAAUUACUGGGCGUAAAGGGAGCGUAGGCGGACUGUUAAGUUAGAGGUGAAAGCCCAGGGCUCAACCUUGGAAUUGCCUUUGAUACUGGCAGUCUUGAGUACGGAAGAGGUAUGUGGAACUCCGAGUGUAGAGGUGAAAUUCGUAGAUAUUCGGAAGAACACCAGUGGCGAAGGCGACA